UACAGAGUGCUCAAGCGUUGUUUCGGAUUCAUUAGGGCGUAAAGGGUGCGUAGGGCGCGCGGUAAGUCGGGUGUGAAAAUCGUCGGAUGCCGCUUAACUCCGAAACUGGCAUUCGGAGUACUGCCGCGCUUGGAGGACUGGAUGAGGAGACUGGAAUUUACGGUGUAGCGGUGAAAUGCGUACGAUAUCGAGUGAAGGAAGACCAGUGGGCGAAGGCGGGUCCUCUGGACGAGUUCCAUGAGCGGGC
rnacentral:rRNA from 1 species